UACGUAGGGGGCAAGCGUUGUCCGGAUUCAUUGGGCGUAAAGAGCGUGUAGGCGGCCAGGUAGGUCGGUUGUGAAAACUGGAGGCUCAACCUUCAGACGUCGAUCGAAACCAUCUGGCUAGAGUCCGGGAGAGGAGAGUGGAAUUCCUGGUGUAGCGGUGAAAUGCGCAGAUAUCAGGAAGAACACCCGUGGCGAAGGCGGCUCUCUGGGACGGUACUGACGCUGAGACGCGAAAGCGUGGGGAGCGAACAGG
rnacentral:rRNA from 1 species